rnacentral:rRNA from 1 species
UUAACGGAGAGUUUGAUCCUGGCUCAGGACGAACGCUGGCGGCGUGCCUAAUACAUGCAAGUCGAGCGGACAGAAGGGAGCUUGCUCCCGGACGUUAGCGGCGGACGGGUGAGUAACACGUGGGCAACCUGCCCUUUAGACUGGGAUAACUCCGGGAAACCGGAGCUAAUACCGGAUAAUCCCUUUCUCCACCUGGAGAGAGGGUGAAAGAUGGCUUCGGC